AGUCCAUGGUGUGGACAUCUCCUAAAUAAUUCUCUAAACCGUUCCCAAGUUUCAUACAAAAUCUAUCAUCAAAUUGACUAAAACUAAUAAUAUCCAUUCUAAGGUU